UAGAAUGUGUUCAAACUUAAGCAUCCAUCAGCUUAAUGCAGACUGCUACAUUCAUAGGAUGUAUUAGCUACAUCUCUUGUCCUUGGAAGUAGUGGCCUUCUUUAGAAACCAUCCCGUGGUGCCCAGUAGUCCAAUCCCCCUGGUCACCUGAGUGGGUUCUCCAGGGGUAUCCCCUUUGUGGGCUGUGUGCACCCUCCUAUUGUGGCUGUGCUGUGACUGCUGGCUGCAUGCCUGCUGGUGAACAAGGCUGAUCCUCAGCCUGGCUGUGAGCAAUAACCUGCCACAACUACUGUCGGUGCACUGGUGGGCAGGGUUUGCUCCCAGCACAGUUGGCUGAGUUGCCUGGCUGCCGCUGCGAAGGGUGAGCCACAUGUAUAGUGUCAGUCCUCAGCGUGUCUGUUGGCAAAGACUGGCUGCAGCCCACUGAUGGGCAGGGCCUGCCCCAGCACAUGUGCCUGAGAGGCCCCGCUGGAUCUUCUUCGAGCGUGGUGAUGGGUGGGGCUGGCUUCUCUCCUUCCUAGCAGAGAAGUUGCUCUGGAGGGGUGCCAGUCCCGGCCAGGGCUGGCAGCUGAGUGUGGUAGGGCAGAGUUUGCUCGGGGGGGAAGCAAUCCAGACCAAGCCUGCCUGCCAGGUGUUUAGCAGGAGUCAUUUUGGAGAGGCAUCUGCCAGGGUGGGUGAGUUGGGUGAGCCGUGGAAGGUCCUUUCUGCCAAUAUUCAGGUCCUAUCAGAGUGAGCUGCACUCUACUUAGUUCUUGCCUGCGUGUGUCCAUGGGAAGAGUGCUGAGAAUGUAUAAACAAUAAUUGACAUCGAAAAUAUGAGCAAAGAUUUUUUUCAAAAAGAAAAAGACUCACUUUUGGCAAGGAUGUGAUGAAUCUGGCCUUCCUAGGCCUCUAUGGUGAAAUAUAAUUUAUGUACAUAAUUCUUGAAAACAUUUAAUUAAUUAAAUACUUGAAUACAUCUUCAUGCCACACAGUCAAAGCCAAAACUUGUCUGGACAAAUCUUUGAUUCUUCCUGGGCCAGCAAAAAAAAAAAAAAGCUUAGCAAAAGGAGAGACCCGUGUUCAAUCAUUGGCAUAAUGAGAAGAGGCCUGUUCUCCUACACAACUGUUGAGGCCACACCAUCUACAGGUUGGUCCUAAAUCCAAUGACAAGUAUUCUUAUGAGACAGAAGAGAAGACCUAGAAACAGAGAAAAAGGCCAUGUGGAAAUGGAGGCAGAGAUCGGAGUGAUGCAGCCCCACGAAAUGUUGACAGUCACCAGAAACUGGAAUAGUCAAGAAAGGAUUCUCUUUUGGAGCCUCCAGAUGGAGUGCGGCCCUGAUGAUACCUUGAUUUCAGACUUCUGGCCCCCAGAACUACACCUAUUAUUUGGAUGUUGGAUUUUCCAGAUAGAUCUUUUUCCUCAUCUGGCCACAUCUUCAAAUGUAAGACUUUAUUAUAUGUGAUCACAUAUAACAAGGCUCAAGGACACACUGUUUUAUGGUGAAAAUCAUAUACAUAGAGGGCUUGGGGGCAGCCUGUGUCUCACUGAAUCAAUGGCAGUAUGUGACAAAUACGGUGUAGUGGAAAAGACAGUGAAUUAAAAGGCAGAAAAAUAUCUUCUAGCCUCAGCUGUGCCACUUACUUGUUUAAGGACUAUGGUAGACUGUUUGCAAAGGUAGUUGCUGACAAUUUUUUCCACUGAAACAUAUGUCACCCCCUUUAUGAAAGGGUGGAAUCUAUUUCCCUUUCUUGGAAUCUGGGUUUUAUGACUUUUUGACCAAUGGAAUGUAGUGGAACUGACCUGGCACUUCUAGACCUUGCAGCUCCUACUUUCACUCUUGAAAACCAGCAACUGCCCUGCUGCAGAGGCCUUUUUGGAUCUUCUAGCCUCGUUUGGAACUCCCGAGCCAACGCUGCAUAGACCAGAGGCAAGCUAACCCAACGAACUCCGCCUUUUGCAGAAUCAUGAACAAAUAAAUGGUGGUUGCUGUUUUAAGCCUCUAAGAUUUGGAAGUGGUUUAUCUCCUAGUAAUAGGUAACUGCAACAGAAACUAGUACCUGGAGAUGGAGUGUUGCUGUAACAAAAACCUAACAUAUGUGACACUGACUUUAUUACCAGGCAGUAACCAGAGAGAAGACUAUUAGUGGAGGUUGGAAGAACAGCAAGGCAUAGCCAUGGGAGGUUGGAGAAACUGCAACUUAGGUGACAAAUUGGAAGACUGUUUGACAUUAUUAUUGCCUGUGAUAACAGGAAUGAUAGAAAAUGUGCUUAAUGAACUUGUGGACCCCGCAAAGAUUUCCAGGCAGCAUGCUGAAAGUGCCAAUGUGCUUAUGAUAAAGUACAAGAAGAAAAAAUGCACUACAGAAAUAAUCUUUGGUUUUCAAGCAAAAUCCUAGUCAGUAAAAGAUUUGUAAAGUAAGAAAUGCCCUCAGGGUAAAGAUCAAAUCAUGUGUUGCUGUAAAACUUUUAUUUUUAAGAUUCCAGAAAGAGUUAAUAUGGUACUUUUCUUAUUUAACUUG